rnacentral:lncRNA from 1 species
GAGAGUCUCGCUGUGUCACCCAGGCUGGAGUGCAGUGGCAGGAUCUUGGCUCACUUCAACCUCCACCUCCCGAGUUCUGCCUCAGCCUCCCAAGUAGCUGGGAUUACAGGUCCAGUCACUCCACGCUUGCAGAGUCCAAUUAACAAGAGCAAGUUCUGGUAGAAAGAAGGUGACUUUAUUCCAGAGCUCAGGUGUUUGAACUGAUGUCUGAUGAGGAUGAAUCCAGCGACUACCUCUGCCUGUCCAUCCUGGGCCUCUUCUGUUGCCUUCCCCUAGCCAUCCCAGCCGUGAUCUUUUCUUGCCUGACAAAGAACUACAAUAAAUCCAGUGACUAUGAGCUGGCAGCCAAGACCUCCAAACAAGCCUACUACUGGGCCAUCGCGAGCAUCACUGUGGGAAUCUUAGGUACCAUCUUGUACACCUACCUGAUAUACUUACUUAGAUUGUAAACUGCUUCCCAGCUCUUGAACAAACCACCAAAUAUACACCACAGUGCAAUUUA